GACGAACGCUGGCGGCGUGCUUAACACAUGCAAGUCGAACGGUAAGGCCCUUCGGGGUACACGAGUGGCGAACGGGUGAGUAACACGUGGGUGAUCUGCCCUGCACUUCGGGAUAAGCCUGGGAAACUGGGUCUAAUACCGGAUAGGACCACUGCCUGCAUGGGUGGUGGUGGAAAGCUAUUGCGGUGUGGGAUGGGCCCGCUGCCUAUCAGCUUGUUGGUGGGGUGAUGGCCUACCAAGGCGACGACGGGUAGCCGGCCUGAGAGGGUGACCGGCCACACUGGGACUGAGAUACGGCCCAGACUCCUACGGGAGGCAGCAGUGGGGAAUAUUGCACAAUGGGCGCAAGCCUGAUGCAGCGACGCCGCGUGAGGGAUGACGGCCUUCGGGUUGUAAACCUCUUUCAGCACCGACGAAGCGCAAGUGACGGUAGGUGCAGAAGAAGGACCGGCCAACUACGUGCCAGCAGCCGCGGUAA
rnacentral:rRNA from 1 species